CGCCGGCCUUGUCCUCAGUGUGGCCGGAAGACGACUCGGGGCUGCUGCUGCUCUCGGGGCGCCGCCGCCGCUCUUUCUCCUCUGCUGCCGCCGCCGUCUCCCGGCAGCCGCCGCCGCCGCCGCUGUCCGAACUUGAAGUUGCCGGCGCGCCCGUUGCAGCCGCCGCCGCCGCCGCGGAGGUCGCCGUGGCCGCCGGGGGCCCCUUCUCGGCGCUCUUGUCCCCGGGGUAGUCGGAGGAGGCGAGGUUUUCCGGGGUGCCGUAGGCUGUCUCGAAAAACUGGUCGAAAGCCUGUGGCAGGACGCCGUUCCUGCCCACGGUGCUAUAGAAAUUGGACGAGACUGCGGGGGUGGGGUGGUGGUAGACGUUGGCCGAGCUCUUGGCCAGCACGUCGCCAGGCACGCCGGCCGCGCUGGGCGCCUGCAGGCAGUCUCUGUGCACGAGCUCCUCCGCGGAGUAGCAGUGGGCCAGAUUGCCGCGGGGGUGCCAUUUAGUGGCGGGCUCAAUGGCGUACUCUCUGAAGGUCACUUCGCGCACGGGUUGGACCUGGGGCAGGUUGGAGGAGUAGGAGUAUGUCAUUGGGCGCGAAGACGGGGUCUGGGGCAGAAAAGAAGGGAGGCUGGAGAAAUCUGGACCCGAGACGUAGUAAGUACAACUUGGCAAAUACAUGUUAGAGGAGCAGGGACCACGCUCAUCAAAAUCCAUUAUUGGGCUACCUUGGGCUCUCCGCAGUAGCCGAGCUUAACAUGAUUCUCCACUGCAGCUGCCUCUUUGAAGCGGAUCCGUGAAGUAGAAAUUUGGAGACCCACCUCAGGGGAAGCAACAGAUCGUCACUCGGUGUUCUCACCGAAAGCACGUAAUCGCCGGUGUAACUCAUGUUGGCUGGGGGGCCUCCCGGCGCGCGCGGAGAGGCUGGGGUGCGCCCCCAUGCAGCAUGCUUGUGCUCAAUUGCAGGGUCCUCGUUCUCGAGUGUGCAGAGGGCGGUGAGAGCUCAACUCUCGUCCCCACCUCCCACCCGCAGCUCCCCGGACUUGCUCUGGGAAGCGCCUCUGCCUCCGACCCUAGCCGGAACCCCUUCGGGGCCAGAGUUUGAAGCCGUGGAUGUGCCUGCCUGGUGGCUUGUCCGAUUUGCACGGUGACUUGAUUACACUCUCUCAUUCAUGGUCACUUCCGAAGCGCUUUAGUGCCUUCCGUCCCUAAACCGCCAACAGCCAGAACGGCUUCUCCCCGCGUGACUCGGCAGAGACAGAGGCACAGGGGCUGCCCUGCUGCUCACCGGUCCACCCAUCUGCCUGGUCUUCUGGAGCUGAGGACUCGGGAAACCAUGCAAUUGAGGCAAGCCUUGGGCUGCUUUAGAGGCGCUGACAUCCGAGGAGACUUCUCCUGGGAGGUCCAACAGCCGAGCUUAGCCCACCGGGCUCUGGGAAAGACCCGACUGAGGCUAAAGCCGCCCCGGAAGGCCAAGUCCGAGUUCCAUUUCUUGAAGAGGCCGGCGCGCGUAAGGCUGUGACAUUGGCCCUGGCGACUGGCUUCCCAGGAGCUGUUCUUUCUCAGGAGCUCCACAGCGCGGGCCAUCUCCAGAAAACUGUCUUCAGAGUGUAUUUCCUUUUAUCGUCAACCCAGAGCCCCACCGCGGCUAAUGCAAGAGGCCAAAAAAUGUUUGGAGGAAGAAAAACAAAGGCAGGAAGUGGCGGCGGCCUGACGGUGCGUGUGUGUCUGCAGAGAAGGGAGGGAGCCGGCUCAGUCUCUUCUUGUUUUUCCAAACUUCAAGGUCCAGGCAGCCCUCUGCAGGGCCGGGCCCCAUUGCUCCCCGCGCGGCAUUGGAGGUGGCCGCCCGGAGAGGAGAAGGCCAACGCCUGCGCCAGGCUUGUCAGGCGGAAACGGCUAACAAGGAGAUUUGGUCAGCAAAACAGACCCAGCCUUUCCGAGGCUUCGUCUGACUUGGCCCGAAAGGUUGGGGAGGGGGGGCUUGCGCAGAGCCUCAGGGACCCUCCUCUCUGGGGACUACCAUCCCUGAGCCUUACGCUUCUUUCCACAGCCUUUGCAGGCGGAAUAUCGGAAUAAAGUGGGUCCAGGCGCCUCUGCCGCCUCCGCUUCUUCUUGCAGCCUGAAUGGUCCGGGAGGCAGCGGGAGGGCGCCGGCGGGCAGUGCCCAGGCGGGGUCGCCUCGAGGCCGUCGGUGAGCACCGGGCAAUGCGAGGCCUUGUUACCGAGGUUGUUGUGCUGGGGGCGUUUCCAGCACAGUCAUUCAAGGGACGUGAGCUGCAAGGAUCGUCACUUGACAGGCGGCUUAACACCCUCUCACUCCAAGGGAGGAUACAGCUGGGUGGCCGGGAGCACCUCCACACUCCAGGCUUCCCAGCUCCAACUGGCAAAGCUGCUGGGCCACCCUCUUCUCUCCCUGGGGCUGGCUUGGGAGGCAGCAGCUGCUCCUUGUCCCAGAAAUCUGAGAAUUCGAAGUCCCCAGUACUUGCACAUGCAGCCCUUUAAAUGCCCAGCAUUUGUCCACAGUCUCAAUGUCAAUGCCAAGCUGCCCCAGUCACCACUGUCCUUCUCAAGGGGGUCCUGUCCCUCUACAGUUCCUGAUCCUGCUCCUGUCCCCCCUACAGUUCCUGUCUCCUGCCCUGCCUCCUUCCAGCCAUUCUCACCUGCUGGGACCUCCUGUCUCUUCCCUACCUCUUUUGAUGCCUCUGCUAGACUGAGCAACAGCUGAGGUGCCACUGGAGGGCAUCCAAUACUCAGGCGCAGAGAAGAGGGGCUGUUAGGUCCCUGACUCUCCCCCAACUUCGGGCUUCCACCAGAGCCUGAACUGAGUCUCCCACCUCCUUCUUAGGAAUACUCCACCUCAAGGCCCCACCAAGUCUGGCUUAUCUCCCUUCCUCUCCCCUCCCUUCUCUACCCUCCUUUCUUCCCCAACACUUCCUCCUUCUCUUCUGCGGACCCAGCUGCUGCUUUUCUAGGCUGGGCAACCCAGAUGGGAUAGGCCUGGGAGGGGUCAGGACCCACUUGACAGACUGAAUCUCACUCCCAGAUGGCUACAGUUAAGUUUCUCUCUUGGUGGAUUGCUUAGGGCACCAUCAUUAUUUUGCCUCCUCCUGCUUGCCUAAUCCCUUACUUUCCUCUGUCCACAAAUGUCACACUGUUUCUAGAAAGCUACACAGAAGAGUAUUUCAACCCUGGUGACCAUACUGCACACAGGUGCAAGAACUGGCCCGGAGGCCCCGGGUAGAAAUGGCAACAGAGCUCUUCUCCAUUACAGGAAUAUCUCCUUCCAAAUCAAAGGGUUCCUGUGGGCACAUCUGUCUUAUGUGGUGAGCUAGGGGAGAUGGGUUGUCUGGGAAGGCCCAGGAGAUCUCCACGUAUUUGUUCUCAGGGCAUGGCUUAUUGCCAGAUCAUAGACAAUCCAUCACAUUUUCCAGGCGCUGCCCAGAGGCAGCACUGAAGCUUCAAUUAAAAAAUCAAGAGAUCACCUCUAUCACUACCAGGUGGAGGCAGGGGUUAAUUUGUCCCUUUGUUGAGACACCUCACCCUCCCCGAAGGUCCCCAACACUUCCUAAAAGCUCAGAAACAGGUAAUGCCCUGAAGUGGACCUCAUAAUUCUGCUUGGUCUGACUGGCAGUUUCAGUCAUCCUUCAAAGCCCCUAAAUAUCUGAAAAGGCCCAUACCCUUCCCCUGGCCACUGCAGAGUGGGGCACAGGGCUCAGCUGAGGGUCUCAAGUACCUAAGCAAUCUAGUUAUCAUUUACUUUAGUGGAUCCCAAACUGAAGGGAGAAGAGAAGAUUACUUCCUUUAAUAACUAUUUUUAUUUUUAUUGUUGCCAAUUAUUAGACUUCUUUUUCCUAUAGCAUGGGAACAAAUGGGGUGGGGGAGACUUUGAAGGGCGAAGCCCUAGUUCUCAGUGUCUGCCUUCCAUUCCCCAUGCAGCUUUGGCCCAAACAGGUUUCCCAGCAGAGUGUGUCUGAGAUAAAGAAGACAAAAGGGGGUGGCCCAACCCGAAGGUUGGCUCUGGUCCUUGGGUCUCGGUCUCUACAGCCGUAGCUCACAGGAAGCCCCCACGCCACAAAGCUCCAACUGCUUCCUAGGGCAGCUCCAUUUCCACUCAGUGCUCAUGUUGGCUCACAUUCCAGGCUUGAGAAGAGCCAUCACCCCAUCCAGCCCUCCUCCCCUACACACCCUUCCAGGCAGUUCUGCGAUGGGACCCAUUCACAGAUCAUUGUUUCUGCUAUAUAUGCCCCCACAGCCCAGCCCAGCCCAUCCACGCAGCCCUAGGGGUACAAUCCAGAUUUUUGGCUUCCGCGAAAAGAAAUCCUUUGCAUGUCCUCUUUGGUUCACCUGGAGAGAUAGGCUCAGCGGCAGAUCACGCUUAAGCUAACGUUUACCGCAGGGCCUGAUGCUCUGAUCUGCUGGAGGCAGGCUAUAGGCAGGGGGUAAGGGGCUCUCUCCCUCGCAGAGCGCAGUGAAGGAUUCUUGGGGGCUGGGAGUCAGGAGUUUUUACCUUGGAAGAGUGCGCCUCACAUCUGUGUGGAUUUUAGGCAGGAGAAGAGCAUCAAGGGUCUCACCAAAGGCUUGCCACUCACUGAGGGAGAGGCCUGGAUUCUGGGACCCCAGGAGAGUCUCUCCAGCAGGGUCUUGGCUCCCCUAUCCUCUUCCCUGCCAAGUCGGCCCUAUGUUCCUACCAGGACCCAGAACUCCGAUCCAGCCACGUCCUUUCCCCUGGGCUUGCAGGCGCUCCCUCUCGCCCCCGCUAGGCCUUAGCGGGCUCCGAAGUCUGCUGGACUGGGGCAAACCCCGCUCUUCUGGGACGGGGACACGGCCUGGGCCACCCGUGGCUGCCGGGACUCCUUUCCAACAGGGCUGGGGAUGGGAGAGUUGGAAAUCAAGAAAGAACCUCUGCCUCCAGUGCACGAGCCCAGAGCCCAGGCUACCAGAACCCGCUUGCAGCAAGGUAACUGUGCGUCCUGUGCCUUCUUGAGGCGGCGGCAGCGAUCGGCCCUGACCAUAGAGGCGGCCGUGGCGCGGAGGACUUGACCUUUACGGCACGAGAGGAGGGCGCUGGCUGAGCCGCAGGGAGGGGGACGCUGCUCUCUCCAGCCUCCUCCACCCAAUAGCAGUCCGCUCGACCCACGCCAGCUGCGCGCUCACCCCCUUUCCCCCUCCAUUUUGUGCAGUGUCCGCAGACCCGCGGCCGGAAACAAAGCCCCCAGCCCUGCUCUCACCACCCUUCUUGCAAGCUGCUGUCGCCAACCCCCCAGACCAGAGGCUCAGAGCUAACGCUAAGCCCCUUAAGGCCCUCUCCAGGGCCCUCUUCUCUCGCCAGCCGCCCUCAGCCAGCUCCUGACCCCAGCCGCCCUCAGCCAGCUCCUGGGUACCACUCUGGGUGCCAACCGGGACCUGCCGGUGCCACGGUCCCGUGCGCCGGGUCCCGGCCUCGGGCUGCGGGCGGCUUCGG
rnacentral:lncRNA from 1 species